UAAGACGUAGGGUCCGAGCGUUGUCCGGAGUUACUGGGCGUAAAGGGCGCGUAGGCGGCUGUGUGCGUCACACGUGAAAGCCCCUGGCUUAACCAGGGAGGGUCGUGUGAAACGGCGCAGCUGGAGGCAGAGAGAGGCUGGUGGAAUUCCCGGAGUAGUGGUGAAAUGCGUAGAUAUCGGGAGGAACACCGGUGGCGAAGGCGGCCAGCUGGCUCUGACCUGACGCUGAGGCGCGAAGGCGUGGGGAGCGAACGGGAUUAGAUACCCCGGUAGUCCACGCAGUAAACGAUGUGGACUAGGUGUGGGGGGAGUUGACCCCCUCCGUGCCGGCGCAAACGCAGUAAGUCCACCGCCUGGGGAGUACGGCCGCAAGGCUA
rnacentral:rRNA from 1 species